AUGGGGAUUUCGGACUGGUGGGAUUCGUUCACCACCAAUUUGCCCAAGGACAACGGAAGAAGGCGGAGCGGCCGCUUCCUUUACACCAUCUGGAACAUCUGGAAGGAGCAAAACCGACGCAUCUUCAAUGGAACUCGCCUCACGCACCUAGAGGUAGCAGCUAUUGCCUUCGACGACAUCAAGCAAAGGACUUUGGCCUUUGGCCGAGCACAGGUGGCAGCCGGUAUCGGUUGA
rnacentral:rRNA from 1 species